CAGCUUCUUUGUGCGUGAUGCAAGUGUCACGCCUGGUCCGACCAAUCUCUCUGGCCCUACGUGAAUCAGACACGCCUCCUCAAGCUCAUCUAUAAAAUCCCAUGCAUUUCAUUGUGGAGCCGGAAGUCCCACCCGGGAGCCCCUCUCUCUCCUAAGAGAGAGAGCUAUUCUCUUUCUUUUGCUUAUUGAACCUCCAGGGUUAAACUCACUUCUUGUAUGUCCGCGUUGUUGAUUUCCCUGGCACGAGACGACGAACCUCGGGUACUUACCCCAGACCACAACGCCGCUUCAAAGGCACAAUUCCCCUUUCAUGUUUGAGGGAAAAGUGCUGUGGGUCCUUGAGUGUUUGGUGACAGAAGCUGCUGCGGGGGAAGGGGGCUGCUGAGAUGGAGGAUCGCUUGAGCCCAGCAGGUGGAGGCUGCAGUGAGCCACGAUCUCACUAUGGCACUCCAGCCUGAGCAACAAAGUGAGACCAUCUUGGGGGAUAAAACAAAAACACCACAAAAUAAAACCAAAAAAACUCAAAAGUUGUACAAUGGCUGGGAACAAUGGCUCAUGCCUGUAAUCCCAGCACUUUGGAAGGUGGGAGGAUCACUUGAGGCCAGGAGUUCAAGACGAGUUUGGGCAGCAUGGCAAGACCCUGCCUCUAAUUUUAAAAAUAAAAAAUAAAAAUAAACUUUGUAAGAGCAAAUGUGAGUUUUGAUUGUGAGUCCUAAAAUGUGGCCACUUCCUCUCUUAAAAACUGACUCUCAGCUAAGACAGGUGCUCGAGGUCAUGUAAUUAGUUAGUAGGGAGGCAGAUAAGGAGGCCAGAGGGAAGUCCUUGAGCUCUGUCAAGCUCAGGUGGCUCAGGCCCACCUCUGCAGUUCUUGUCUGCCUUACUGGCUUCCAUUAAGCCCAUGAGUAUGGCUCAGAGGCCAGAACUGGGUAUAUAUUUUAGGAGUAGGGACAAGGUAGUUGAAAUGACAUUUCUAUUCACUUUAAGGAAGUACAGUACAGACUUCUUAGUACAUAUUCUUUCUCUUUGAUCCAACCACCAAGAGAGACACAUCAGUUUGGAGUAGGAAACAAAGAAAAAGGAGGGCCCUUUUCUCUAGUAUUGUAAACCCAAGAAUUCCAGAAACACAAUUUUAGGAGUGAGAAUAAUAAUAAUAAGGCCGGGGGCGGUGGCUCAUGCCUGUAAUCCCAGCACUUUGAGAGGCCAAGGUGGGCAGAUCACGAGAUCAGGAGUUCGAGACCAGCCUGAUCAACAUGGUGAAACCCCAUGUCUACUAAAAAUGCAAAAAUUAGCCAGGCAUGGUGGCGCACGCCUGUAAUCCCAGCUACUCAGGAGGCUGAGGCAGGAGAAUCUCUUGAACCCAGGAGGUGGAGGUUACAGUGAGCUGAGAUCGCACCACUGCACUCCAGCCUGGGUAACAGAGCAAGACUCCAUCUCAAAAUAUUAAUAAUAACUACAACAUUGGUGGAGUGCUUUCCAAGUGCUAGGCAUUUGAUAUAGGGAUCUCCUUUCUACCUCCCCACAAGCCUAUGUCAUAGAUACUGUCAUUAUACAGUAUCUCAUUUUAAGGCGACCAAGGUUCAAAAACGUUAACUAAUCUGCAAAGCCAGGAUUCAAAUCCAGGCACGCAGGUCCUGCCUGUUUC
rnacentral:lncRNA from 1 species